AUUCUGAAUGUGGGAUAUUGCACUUACUUAGGAAGCUUGUUUUAUACAGUAAAAAAUCUCAUGCUGUUAGUAUAUGCAUCUCUGAAGUCUCUGAGCAGAAGUGUGCAAGCUUUCAUAGGCCAGAUAAAGCUCAAGGAAACCACACAUUCUGAGCUGUGGCUAGGGUGCUAGAAAUGAAUGUAGUUAGGCCAUAGAGGGGAGACACCUCAGCAGAUGCUUUGGGUUUUAAAGUCUAUGUGUUCUCCCACAUAGAUCACAAAGUCUGUUCUGUGAGUUUUUAUAAUAGGUCUGCCACAGAGUGUGAAGGCUAUGAGUUUUGUUGUUUGUUUUACCCCCAAAGUCAGUGGCUUGCUGGGAAUCACCUUGUCAGUGUCAUGGGUUUUGUAUGGCAUCACAUGCUGGGGGUCAAAUGGACAAGAGCAGCUCCAAAGCAUUUAUAACGUCACCUAGAAAUCAGGGCGGAAUAUAAAGCAUGGGGUGUUCAGUUAUCUCACUAAGAUUGCACUGACCCUUAUAAUCCUGUUUUGAAAAGUAGUUUGUUUACUGGUGUUUUUAUCAUGAAUAGUAUUCCUACUUUAUUUCUGUGUUCGUUAUUUGUUUUACUUCACCUUCCUAAAGGUAAAGACAUGCAUUUCUCAGGGGUCACAGCUCCGAGCUCCUUACCAGAGCCUGUGAAGAUGAAAUGUUUGACUCCAGAGGAGCCUUUUAGCAGCUUAAUUGACCAUCCUGAACAGUACCAGAACCUGCUUGCUGAUUUGUGUGCACCUCCACUAGACCAUGGGAUGGUUGGCAAUACAAGUGCAGACAAUGAGUAUGCACAUAAAUGAAUGCUGGUGCUUUGAAAUUUUUCAAAUGUCUUUGGACAUGUUCUCUUUCAGUCGCUAAGUCCAGAGGCCAGUGAUACAUUGGCUCUUGAAACUACUUGAAAUACAUUUUUGUAAUAAUAGCAAUCUAGUAUCAGGUUAAGGACAUCCUCUAAAUAAGUUAUCCAUUGCUCUUAGGCUCUAUAAAGUAUAUCAUCUGUUGGUGUAAGAGCCUCUGUUUCUGCCUUUAGUAGUUUCUAUAGUGGAAGUAUCUAUUAAGUGGUUAAUGCAAAUCAGUUUAUACAAACAGUGCAAAUGUUGCUAUAGACUUUUCAUUGCCUAAUGAAAGAAAAAGAUAGAAAACAACAGCAAGUCCUAAGCAUAUCUUAUCUUUUACGCACAGUUGCAACCAAUGAUGUUUGAUUCUCAGAUUUCCCAUAACAUUGUUGUCAGAUUCAUAAAUCUUUUCAGAUGCCUGGAAGGAGUUUUCUUCAGUGUCACUGCCCUCUUUCCUUUCAUUUUCCAGGUUAGCUUUGUUUUCUUACACUCCAGAAGUCCUGAUAGGUCACAAGAACUUGUUUUGGGCAAGCCAUCCUGACCUAUUUUUAUAAAAGAUUCAUCACAUUCAUGCUCUCUCUUUUUUUUCUUCAGCAUUUCUGCUCCCUUUUUUUGCAGAUACCAGUACAUGUUCCUACAAGAAUUUCUCUUCUGAGCUUGUCUUUCUCUUUGAAGUCAUACCUUAGUAGGUUUAUGAUCAUGUGUGAAGUCUAGUUUGUGCAGAAGCUUAAGGUUUUUCAAGUAUAGCCUCUGAGGUUUGUGAUCUAUUCAAGUAUACUGCAGAGUAUGUGCUGACAACCAGUGACAGCAGCAAAUUCUUCUCUAUUUGAGUAUAAUUUUCUUGUGGUUGUUCUACAUUCUCAUUCAUUAUGUCCUGAAGUGUCUCCCACAAAAAUACUGAAUCAUCCUCUAUUCAUGA
rnacentral:lncRNA from 7 species